GCUCUCAUUUACACUGCUGCUGAUUUUAACAUCUCAGGAUGUCACCACCUGCCCUUUUUAAGCUGAUAGGAGAACUUCACUUACUAAAUUUCUUCAGUUGAAGUAGCUCUUCAGCUAUACAUCCUUCUUGCAUUUAUGCCGGAGACGUCGCCAAUGCUAUGGGCUUUGGCUUAUGUAGAUCAAAAAUGAUAAAUUAUGGCAUGCAUCUCUGAGUAGAGUGGCAUGGCGAAGAUAGGCGCAUAGUGUGAUCUACAAGAGUGGUAGAGGUCCCAUUAUUACAUAAGAUUUAGUAUUGCUGGACACCUAACAGAAUCGGAGUAAAGAAACUCAACCAAGGAGAGACUUUUUUCUUCUCAAUAGCACGGCCGAUCACUUGGCUAAGGGGCUGUUUACUAACUACUGACUGGGCUG